rnacentral:rRNA from 1 species
UACGGGGGGGGCAAGCGUUGUUCGGAAUUACUGGGCGUAAAGGGCGCGUAGGCGGCCUGUUAAGUCGAACGUGAAAUCCCUGGGCUCAACCCAGGAACUGCGUCCGAUACUGGCAGGCUUGAAUCCGGGAGAGGGAUGCGGAAUUCCAGGUGUAGCGGUGAAAUGCGUAGAUAUCUGGAGGAACACCGGUGGCGAAGGCGGCAUCCUGGACCGGCAUUGACGCUGAGGCGCGAAAGCCAGGGGAGCAAACGGG